rnacentral:rRNA from 1 species
AGAGUUUGAUCAUGGCUCAGGAUGAACGCUGGCGGCGUGCCUAAUACAUGCAAGUCGAACGAAGAUGUUCUUGUGUUCGCAUGAGAGCUCUUAGUGGCGGACGGGUGAGUAACGCGUUGGUGACCUGCCCUAAAGAAGGGAACAACCUCGGGAAACUGAGGCUAAUACCCUAUGUGCUUCAGAAGAUUAGAUCCUUUUGAAGUAAAGGUUCUGUGGACGAAAGGCCACGGUGCCGCUUUAGGAGGGGCCUGCGUCCCAUCAGCUAGUUGGUAGGGUAAUGGCCUACCAAGGCGAUGACGGGUAGGGGACCUGAGAGGGUGACCCCCCACACUAGCACUGAAACACGGGCUAGACACCUACGGGUGGCAGCAGUAGGGAAUCUUGCACAAUAGACGAAAGUCCGAUGCAGCAACGCCGCGUGUGCGAUGAAGGCCUUCGGGUUGUAAAGCACUUUUCUGAGGGAUGAGAAAGGACAGUACCUCAGGAAUAAGUCUCGGCUAACUACGUGCCAGCAGCCGCGGUAAUACGUAGGAGGCGAGCGUUAUCCGGAUUUAUUGGGCGUAAAGCGCGUGCAGGUGGUUUGGUAAGUUGGGUAUGAAAUCUCCUGGCUUAACUAGGAGAGGUUGCUCAAAACUACCAUGACUAGAGGACGGUAGAGGAAGGUGGAAUUCCCGGUGUAGUAGUGAAAUGCGUAGAUAUCGGGAGGAACACCAGUGGCGAAGGNGGCCUUCUGGGCCGUUCCUGACACUAAGACGCGAAAGCGUGGGUAGCAAACGGGAUUAGAAACCCCGGUAGUCCAUGCCGUAAACGAUGUGGNCUUGANGUCGGCGAUGUAAAAGUUGUC